AGCCCAGCCCAACGAUACUCCGCAACUAUCGAGUAUCUUCUACUUGCUUCCGCAAUCUACUAAGUACACCCUACCACAUCAGUGCAAACCGUAUAGGCUUCUUUCUUCCCUGACCGUUCCUUCUAGCUCGCCGCCGUUCGUCGUUGUCAUCUCCGGCAAGGCCUCCAGUGCACGCCAUCCCUUGGCAUCACCGACUCCCAUCAAAGUGGAUCUUCACCAACGCUCCUCGCCUUUCAACUAAACAGUAAGAAACACAACUCCAGCACAAUAGCAGCUGCCUCUCCCUCCCUAGACGUUUUAGUGAACCUUUCCUUCUAUAUUGUUCUUUUUUCUUAUCAUUUUCGUACUCAGAUCUAUUCCUAUAUUCUUAAGAGGCGAAAAAAAAUCUUCUGCUAAUCAAAUGCGUAUACUGACUAUUUAAGAUCCUAUUCUCAUUACUCUACCCAGAAUAAUAGCUGUCGUUCUAUUGUUUAAAUUUUAUUAUCGCCUAUUAAUUAUUUAGCCAGUACAUUCCUCUACCAGUUACGGCCGCAGCAAGAGGGAAAAGAAACACUCUGAUAUUGAACCUUUACGAGUAUAAAAGCACAGCUUGCUUCAACAACAACAACAAAAAUUACAAUGGCGUCAAAUUCAACAGUUGCCCGUGGAAUGAUUGACCUUGGCGAUGAGAUGGAAGCUGCUAUUGUGAGACUACAGUUAGCCAUUAUUGCAAAACCAAUAACAGCUCCUCCACCAGUACCAACAACUGCAGAUGUUGAAGCAAUGUUUGCCAACCAUUAUCAGGCAUCACCCCCAACCAGUAGAAAUAUCCUACUUCCCACCAGAUUUCAUUCUACAAUUUGAUAACAAAAAAAACUAUGACACAGUGCUCAGCUAUCAAAUCCUUACUGAUAACAAAUACACAUUUUCCUUGGCACCUUGGACUCAUGAUGCUAGAUGCCACCUAGAAGCAUGGAAAAUUCCAGUAAAUAUAGACAUUCAUGGCAUACCUCCCCAUGCAUUCCACCCUAAAAGUCUUUCAGUACUACUAGAUCCAUAUUGUGACAUUGAAGCAUAUACCAUGGACAAAAAAUCAGGUAUCCGUACUGUCGAAGGCACUGCACGAAGUGUAAGCUCUAUCCCAGUCACAGGUUUCCUCUCAUAUCCACAGCGUACUGGAUAUGAGACAGUCAUACAUACAUUUCCUGUCACCAUGCAAACCAGCUUAUUAACUACCUAGAAGGUAUUCUUCUGACUGGCAUCAACCUCCACACUUUGAUAUACAACCAAUCUGCAAUAACCCAUCUCAGACCGAAGAACGGGAACAACAAGAGGACUCUGACAUGGUCAGGCAAUGCAAUAGAGCCAUAUUUGAAGCUGAACUCGAAUAUGAAAGAAGAAUGAAUAAUCCACUCACCUUUCAUGGCUUUGCAUACUCUGAAAAAACUUCAGAUGAGGACGACCCCAACGACGCCUAUUAUUAUGCAGACUCUGAUCGUGAGCCAAAAAAUUGGUAAUCUAACGUAUCAGGUAGAUGAUUAGCAAUGCGGGAAGGAAAAAUGGUGUGACCAGGACAAAGUAGAGCGCGGCACUGACACGGAGGCGGCCUUCGCAAGGUUGAUGGAAGCCUACUAUGCUUUGGGAGAUUGAUAAGAGGAAUGCUCUACUACAAGGCGGGAAAGUCUGUUGUUUCACAUGAUGGCACUGAGGCACACCAUGUACAGAUGAGAGAUAUAGGAUCAUUCAGAAUAUGCUUCAACCGUAUCGAAAAUACAUGUUCAAGCUCGAAAUGUACUAAUGUUACCACAUAGAUUUUAUAUAUUAAUUUGGCUCAAGAUCUAUGCUAGGUUCUAUGAA